UGCAACCCGCCUGCGUGAAGUCGGAAUCGCUAGUAAUCGCGGAUCAGCAUGCCGCGGUGAAUACGUUCCCGGGCCUUGUACACACCGCCCGUCACACCAUGAGAGUUGGAAAUACCCGAAGCCUGUGAGCUAACUGUAAAGAGGCAGCAGUCGAAGGUAGAGCCAAUGAUUGGGGUGAAGUCGUAACAAGGUACC
rnacentral:rRNA from 1 species